GCCUCAGUAGCUCAGCAGGUAGAGCGUCUGGCUGUUAACCAGAAGGUCGAAGGUUCGAGUAAUAAUUCGAGAAUCCUUCCUGAGGCG
rnacentral:tRNA from 1 species